rnacentral:tRNA from 1 species
UCCCUGGUGGUCUAGCAGUUAGGAUGCAGCACUUUCUCUGCUGCAGCCCAGGUUCAAUCCCUGGUCUGGGAC